rnacentral:tRNA from 1 species
GCCGCCAUCGUCUAAUGGCUAGGACGCCAGGUUCUCAUCCUGGUAAUAGGGGUUCGAUCCCCCUUGGCGGUA